GCUGGGUAGCUAUGUACGGAAGGGAUAAGCGCUGAAAGCAUCUAAGCGUGAAGCCCCCCUCAAGAUGAGAUUUCCCAAUUAGUAAGACCCCUUGAAGACGACGAGGUAGAUAGGUUGGGGGUGGAAGUGCAGUAAUGCAUGGAGCUGACCAAUACUAAUCGGUCGAGGGCUUAUCCUAA
rnacentral:rRNA from 1 species